AUGAUAUUUGGCUAGGGUUUGAUAACCCUUAGCCACCACCUCACAUUCUCUCUCUUAUCCUCUGGCCAAAACACUUAGCCUCCGCCUUACAUUCUCUCUCUCAUCCUCUAUCCAAAAUGCCAUUUUUGGCAAUGUUUCAGAUGACGACAGAGGUCACCAGGCCUUGCCAUGGCUGAAAAAGGCAAUGCAAUUAAUGCUACUGCCCUAUUUCACUAAAACUCGAUCGAUUAAACCCAAGCAUGGCCCAAUAGGUCAAUUCUUUCAAAAAACCAAGAACUCCAGGUCGACGUAAGGGAAGCUGAUAUUGUAGAAAUGCAUUGAAAAUCUAGUCAUGGGUGAAAAUAACUAACUAGGGGUUUGGUACACCCCUAGACUAUUCCUUUCUCUUAUUUAUGUUAAUUCAAUUUAUUAAGCGUUGUAAUUUUUAUGAAUUUGUAAAAACAUUACAUUGUAUUGGAAUCAUUAUAUUAGAACUAGUAGUCUUAGGACAACGGUA